GAUAAACGCUGGCGGCGUGCAUAACACAUGCAAGUCGAACGAUGAAACUUAAAUGAUCUCUUCGGAGUGACUUUAAGUGGAUUAGUGGCGGACGGGUGAGUAACGCGUGAGUAACCUGCCUUGCACAAGGGGAUAGCCGUUGGAAACGACGAAUAAUACCCUAUGAUAUGAUAGUCUCGCAUGAGAUUAUCAUCAAAGAUUUAUCGGUGUAAGAUGGACUCGCGUCUGAUUAGCUAGUUGGUGGGGUAACUGCUCACCAAGGCAACGAUCAGUAGCCGGCGUGAGAGAGUGUACGGCCGCAUUGGGACUGAGACACGGCCCAGACUCCUACGGGAGGCAGCAGUGGGGAAUUUUGCACAAUGGGGGAAACCCUGAUGCAGCGACGCCGCGUGAUUUAGAAGGCCGUCGGGUUGUAAAAAUCUUUUGUAUGGGAAGAAAAUGACAGUACCAUACGAAUAAGGACCGGCUAAUUACGUGCCAGCCGCCGCAGUAA
rnacentral:rRNA from 1 species